rnacentral:rRNA from 1 species
GAUGAACGCUAGCGGCAGGCCUAAUACAUGCAAGUCGAACGGUAAGGCCCUUUCGGGGGUACACGAGUGGCGGACGGGUGAGUAAUGCGUGGGAAUCUACCCUAGAGCGGGGGACAACCCGGGGAAACUCGGGCUAAUACCGCAUACGUCCUACGGGAGAAAGGGGGCCUCUGAAUGUAAGCUCCCACUCCAGGAUGAGCCCACGUCCGAUUAGCUAGUUGGUAGGGUAAAGGCCUACCAAGGCCACGAUCGGUAGCUGGUCUGAGAGGAUGGCCAGCCACACUGGGACUGAGACACGGCCCAGACUCCUACGGGAGGCAGCAGUGGGGAAUAUUGGACAAUGGGGGGAACCCUGAUCCAGCCAUGCCGCGUGAGGGAAGAAGGUCCUCUGGAUUGUAAACCUCCUUUGGCAGGAAACAAACCUGCGCUAUACGCGCAGCUGAGGGUACCUGCAGAAUAAGCACCGGCUAACUCCGUG